rnacentral:lncRNA from 1 species
GCCGGGUCACAUUUUAAAAUUUACACUUCAUUUUUACGCAUGAUUAUAAAACUAUUCAAAACAUAACCUUUAAAAAGGUAACAGACAUGUAGUAUGCUUACAGACUUCAGGCUCUUGUUUCUAUGCAUGGAAAGGUCAAUUAUCCAUAUAUACUGAACGGCAUUAGAAACGCAACACUCAUUUUGUUAAUUUUUCUUACCAAAUCUUGUUUGAUUUUCUUACAACUACUUUGCAUGCUUAUCAUACUUCUUUCUCCGUGUUAAAAAUCAAAAUCUAACUUACCUGUGGUUAUUGAGCAUACCGAGUUUUUGAAGUCGCACGAAUUUCUUAAAGCGAAAUUUUGGACCCAUGAAGAUUGUUUCAGUUGUUUUGCUUUGUGAAACAGUUCUUUCAAUACUUUGCCUCACUUAAACCAUUUUAAAAAUGUUGCAUCUCUAUUUUGC